AGGGCCAGGGGUAGCACUGCACCUGUGCAAAGGUCGGAAAUGAACAGGGUAGGUCAGUGGUUAAUACCAAUAACAGCCACAAUCCAUUAUAUGAUAAGCACUGUGCAUGCACUGUUUUAUUUAAUCUGAACAACUCAAGUAGGUACUUAUAGUACCUCCAUCUUGCAGAUUAACUGAGGUGCAGAAAGAUUGAGUAAUUGGCCCAAGAGCACAUAGCUUGUAAGUUGCAGGUCUAGGUCUCAAACCAAGAGUUCCUUAAAACCAAACUGUGUACCAGGUUCCUAUAAAAUUUAUAGGCCAUCAGUGGGUACAAACGUUGCAGUCAGAUUACCCUUAUAUCCAACUGUAAUAGACAUUCUGUAAAUAGACAACUGUACAGACAUUGUGACCACAGGAAAUGUCUUCAUUGCAGUCACAGCUUACAUCUAUGGAUUCAUACAUGAUCAUUCACCAUUAAAAUAAGUAUGGACUAACUCCUGAUUUCUUGCUCUGGUUAGGGCUUUAAGAAAUUUUUGUUUCCUAAAUCCAGAGAACCUACUCUCAGCCAGUAGAACCAUUAUUGAAAACUUGAGGAAAAAAAAUCUCUAGUUCUCCUUCAUAGGUUUUCUUCCCUGUGGGAUUGAUCCUAGACACCUAGACUAGAAGCAGCUUUUAGAGCCUUUCAGGAGUCUGGAAGGAACAGUGUGUACCCCAGAUCAGUCUUUCUUAUCAAGCUCAGCAGGGUCUAUUCUUAGUCUGAUCUGCUCUGGAGUCAGGCCAGGCUUGGAGAUGAUAUGGUGGAACUAUUUUUAGCUACAGGGGUCUUGCCAACUGGUGGAACGAGAGGAGCAAAAACCUCCAUUGCAUAAGCUGAUUUCAUAACAUUUUCUUUCAUUUAUUUAUUCAUUUUGCAUAAAUUAACAGUCAUGUGCCUGACACUGGUAAUCAAAGAUAAUAAAGAGCGCUUUAUAGAUGAAGUAAUUUAAUUCUCACAACCACCAUAUGAGUUCGUACUUUUAUUAUCCCCAUUUCACAAAUGAGGGAACUAAGGCAUUGAGAAUUAAGUGACUUGACUUCUCUCAGUAUGGUAGAGUCAGGAUAUGGCCCCAGACAGUACUGUUCCAGAACUACUGUGGUAUACCACUUCUCCAAAAGUUAAAUGAGAUUGUUUUUUAAUGACUUCAAUUCUGGGUAGAUAGACAUUUACAUGCAAAGAUACAAUAAAGUAUUACAGUUACUAUGGUAGAAUUAUAUAUGAAGUACAGAUAUAAAAAGGAGUGGUCCAGGUAUCUGGUUCCUAGGAUCUUUGCUCGAGUGACUUACAUGUAUGAUGGAGCUUGCUUGGGGUGGGUGAGGGAGAUGAUUAUUUUUCGACAGUUUCAAAUUGAGAUGCCAACAGCCAACCCAGGUAGAAUUUUCUCUAGGCUCUUCGAUGAUUUGGGCCUGAACAUGUGGGGACCUUCAGCGUUAAGGUGAUGGUUGCAGGGACGAAAGUGGGUGAGACCGCCAGAGAGGAAGGGAGAAGGGGGCCAGGGACAAGGCCCUGGGGAGCAGCAACAUUUCAGAGGGCAGACAAAGAGGAGGACCAAGGAGCACAGGAAGAGACAGGUCAGAGAAAUGGUCGGCGACCAACGGAGAAGGGAGUCCUGGAAGCAGAGGGACGAGGCUAUUUCAAGACGAAAGUGGUCAGCGGAAUCAAAUCCUAAGGAGAGGUCAAGUGAGGUGAAGCCUGGAGAGGCCGCUGCACUUAGCAACUGGGAAUUCAUUUACAGGGAGAUUGAAGGCUGAGGGAUGCUGUUUUGUUUUUUAUAUGUUUUUAGAGAUCUGAAUGCAUCUAGGGGGAUGAACCAGUAGAGAUUAUAAACACUGGGAGUUAAUAAAUGAUGGAGAAACAGACUUGAGGAGAUAAGGAGCUGCAUCAAGGUCAGGGGGAGAGACUGACCUUGCAAAGAGGGGACACCUUUUCCUUUAGUGCUGGAGGAAAAGAAGAGAGGGUGGGUACCGACACGUGUUUACAUUUGGGGGUAAGUAACUGAGGAAGUUCACUCCUGAUAGCUUUGAUUUUCUGAGCUUAAAACCAGUCCCAGGUAUAGCUGGCCUCCUCUCCAAGACAAGAGGGCCUGGAGCUGAGUACAUACUAAUGGCAUUUCAACCUCUGGUUUAUCUGUGGAAUCCUACGUGAAACUCCUGAAGAAGAUUCUCAGGAACAGUCUGAGAGUUCAGUCUGGGUUCAGGAGGGUGGGAUGAGGAAGUUGCAUUAGCGACUCUUGGUACAAGACAGUCUUUGGGGCGAGGCCAGUAUUCCCGUAGAGAAUUAUGAAAGAUAAAAAUCUGUGAUAAACCAACAGUCUAUAAUUUGAUUCUAGAGCUGGCACAUACAUUCCAGUUUCCUAAUGGCAACUUUGAGGAAAGAAGUUUUGAAAGGGCUAAGUUUGGACCUGAGGGUGCCAGUUCCCCCUGCAUCUUCCUGCACUAGCCACAGAAGAGGGAUAUGUUACAAAGGAAUUGGACAAAAAAAGAGACUUUGGUCAACCCCCAAAGAAACCCUGGGAACCCCAAACCAUUUCUUACCAACUGGAACCCAAUACCCAGACCCAGUUCUGCUUGUUCAGGGUAGGAGAAUGAUUAGAGGCUGCCCUUCUAAGUGAGUUCAGCUUGUUGAAAACACCAGCGUUUAGGCUGCAGGGGAAGGGAGCUGUGGCUGAAGACCCCAAUCCCAAGUCUGGGGCUCAGAGGUAGCUAUGGCAACAAUAAAACCGCAUACAAUCUAGGGGAAUCUUCUGUUUGCCAAAGUCAGAUGAGGUUGCUGAACUGUCAAAUCUGAUUCCUGAUUAAUGCUUUGAUGACAAAGAACAUGAAGUCUCCCAUAAAGUACUUGCUAGGAUACUGAAAAUUAUUCUUGACUUUUAAAUACUCAGUUGGCAUAGUUUCUUCAGUGUUUUUAGUUUAGGUAAUUUGAGAUUUAAAAUUUCCCAACCCCUUCUAAAACACAUCACCAUAGUUUUCUUAGAAACCAGCUAAGGGGAUGAAUUGGGUAUUCUGUUCCUAAGACUGGGAGUGACACUCAAAUAUGUAACAAUUAGGACAGGCACCGGGCAAUCAGAACUGAGGCUCUCUGGAUACAUCUGGGCAUGGGGGUAAGGGGCAGGCCCAGUUCUCUCUGUAUGUCGAAAGGCGAUGGGUGUUUUUAUUCAAACAUCCUGGGACAGGCUAAGUCCAGCAGGCCAGCAGCCUGGGCAGCAUCUAGGUACUUGAUACCUGGGUUAUUUUAGCCAUCUAUUAUUUAAAAAUUAUACUUGACUAUUGUUCAGAUAUUACAAAGACUACUUCUAGUGUAAAAAAGUUUUCUCAAUGUUUAGAUCCAUAGCUUAAUAAUCAUAUUUUGUUCUAAAUUUUCUUUUACUAAUUAGUUUAUGAGAUUUAGGAUUAAAACUUACCUUUCUACAGGACUAUCUUGAAAGUAUUUUCUUUCUAGUUAAAAAUAACCCAAAUUAUGAAAUUACAGUAUUCUUCUUCCACUUACUAAAUAUCCCCUGUACCACCUACACCCUUUCACCAUUCCCGUUGUCUUCCGUCUUUAUCACUGGAGCACUUGGAGAGAGAACUGGGUACUCUAAGACCUCUGCCCUUGUUGAUCACAAAUAACAAUCACAAUAGCAUCAUUUAUAUGGCUUAUUGCAUGAGCCAAGCGAUAUGCUACAUGCUCUAUAAUGACCGUUCCAUUUAUUCUCCCUAACAGCUCUGUGAGGCAGGUAUAGUUACUAUGUUCAUCGACCAAUGAGGAAAUUGAGAUCCAGAGAAAGAUAACCUGCCCAAGGUCAUCGAGUUAGUGAUGGACGAAGGAUUUGAACCUUGGCAUCUGGUUCUUAACCACUAUGUCCUGAGCAUCACUCGUUCCACACAAUGCUACACCUGGAUGGGACUGUAGUGAUUAUCCAGUCCAAUCAACUUAUAGAAGAGGAAGCUGAGAUCCAAAGAUGUGAAGAUACUAGUUCAAGAGUCCCAAGAUGAAGUAUGAUAUAGGAGAUGAGAAUAUACUAGUUCUUCUGACCCACAGAUCCCUGUUCUUAUCAUGGACUCUUGCAGAUUCAUCUAAUAACCUCAGCUACAAGAUAUGUGGCUCCGUAAAUGUUUCUGCUCUGCAAUGAAUUUCCAAGUGGUGGAAACCCCACUCCGUCCCAAACAGGGAGGGGAGGAAAAAGAAGAGGAACAUCCGGGGUGAGACUGUAAAAGAAGACAGUGAGCAUCGAGGAGCCAAAGGGGAAAGAGCCAGCCAGAAAGUACAUACAAGCAGGGCUCAAUGGAGCUGUAGCUGCUUCCUGGCUCUGUAGCUAAGACAGAAGGUCCUCGAGCACACAGCAAGGCUUGCUGCACAAGCUAUCCUCCCGCUGGGGAUGGUAUAAGACUGUUAAGUUAAAUCCUGGCUGCAUCAUUUACUAGCUGUGUGACCUUGUCUGAAGUCUUAAACCCUCUGUGCCUCAUUGUCUGCAUCUAAAAAUGUGGGUAAUGAUCUGAACACAUCAUUAGGUUGCUGUAAUGACCACAGGAGUGCACAAUGAUGGGCACUCAGUGAGUACUGUCACCUGUAAUAAAUUUGAAAGUGGAAAGAUCACAUGGCUGAGAACUCAUGUCUAAUUUUUUAAAAAUAAUGAGCCAGAAAUAACAACACCAAAAUUUACCAGUUUCCAAUUCUUUUCAGAAGAUUAACUGGCUUGUCUUUCAUCCAGUGGAAAAAUAUAAAAUACAAUCAUACCCCGAAUAUAUUAUGGGUUCAGUUCCAGACUACUACAAUAAACUGAGUCACAUGAACUUUUUGGUUUCCUAGUCAUAUAAAAGUUGUUUUUACACUAUACUGUAGUCUAUUAAGUGUAUGAAAGCACAUGUCUAAAAAAAUCAAUGUACAUACCUUAAUAAAAAAUACUUUAUUGCUAAAAAAUGCUAAUCAUCACCUGAGCCUUCAGUGAGUCAAAAUCUUUUUGCGAUAGUAACAUCAAGAUCACUGGCCAUACAUACAGAUGGCCGAGAGGCACAUGAAAAGAUGCUCA